UGGAAAGUGGCUCAAUGGUAGAGUGCUUGCCUUGCAUGCAUGAGGCCCUGGGUUCAAUUCCUCAGUACCAC
rfam:Dipodomys ordii contig_68215, whole genome shotgun sequence.